GGUGUCUUUGGUUUGCAUUAGUAGGCCACCUCCAGAAGGUGGUGCUUUCAGAUGGUCAAAGUGAUGGGAUUAUUUUUAAUAAUAAAGUAGUAAGUAUCUGUGCCUGGUUUUUUACACAAGAUGAGCAGCACUUUGCUGGUUGAGUGUCUGUUUCCCUAUUUUUCUAGCUAUUAGGGGCCACAGUUUUAUAACCCAGGUAAUCCUGAAUACAAAAGAUAAAAAGGGUGCUAAACGCAAAAUAGUUGUGUAAGGCUUUCCUUAAAAGAGGAAUGAAGACAGUUUGGGGUUUUAUGCUUGACCAUACGUGCCUGCCUACUUUGUGUCUUACAGAUAGUGCUAUCUAAAGAUAAUAUUUUCUCUCCUAUACUUAUCUGGGAAAGAAUCACCACAACAAUUAAAAAUGUUAGAUUAAGCAUGAUUAUUCACAGUUGUGGGCAAAUCUUGAAUGCAUACAAGUUUAAACAAAUGAUGAAAGUAUGUGUUGAGAUUCUCCUCUCUGCAAUUAUAAUUAGAAGUGCUGUAGGGAAAAAGAUUUUAAUGGUAUUUUAAAGCUUUUUAGCACUUCAGUGUGCCAUACAAUCACAAUUAAUGGGAAUUGUUAUUUAGCAGAAUUCCCAAAUCCCAGGAUUGGUUUUUGACAGCUGUCUACAUAAUGGUUCAGGGCUAGUAAUUCUGUUUUGUUGUCUUUAACUAUACUUUUUUUUUUCUUUUUUUCUUUUCAUGGGCUCUGUGCAUUCUUGUUUGUGAGGAUUUGGCCCUGCAAAGAGCAUACAGAGCCUUGUUUUGAAACAAACAUAUAAGGCUGACUUUUGAAAGAUACACAUCUUUCAUGUUGGUAAAAGGCCUCUUUUUGAUGUUGGCACUGAAACAUAGCCCUAAGGAGUCUAUUUUUCCUAUCUAAUCUACAGAAGUUGUUUUUGUUCCAACUUUAUAUGUAUAUAUAUAUACACUAUGUUGAAACAUCUGCAGCUGAAGAAGAGUUGCUAGAUGUGACAGAGGAUCCCUCCUCCUCACUGAAGUGUCUGUUGCAUGCUUUGACGUGUUGAUUGAAGCUGCACUGAUCCAUGUGUUGUGGCUUUUCUUUGGGUUUUGGAGGUUUUGUUUGGUUGGUUUGGGUUUUUUGGGAUAAGUAGCAGUGAUUUGAGGGAAGUCUGACUGUGCUUCUUCGUGCCUGUACAAAGAUGACAUAGGGAGUAAUUCUUUCAGGUAAGUAACUUCUUUUACAGGAACAUAAUUUUUUGGCCACCUAAUUUUUACAUAUGUGUACAGGUUAGUUUUGUUGGUGGUUUUUUUUUCCAUUUUUUAAUAUUUAUUUAUUUUUUAAAGCAUUUAGGCAAACUCAGGUAAGGAAAUGAGAAAGGGCUGCUUUAAUAGAAUUUUAAAAUUGGAGUGCUAUGAUUAAUAAUCUCAAGGCAUUCUGGUUUUUAUGGUGUCUGUUUCUGUUUUUCCUGUCAUAUAACAGAAUAGUUGAUUUUUACACAGUUUAUAUGGCACUGUUACACAGCAGUCUUGAGCAGACAGCAGUACAACAAUUAACCACUUGGUGUCACCUGAAUAUUUUGAAAACGAUGCUCCUUAGAAAAUACAGGAACAUAUGUUUUCUCUGAAAGAUGAAUAAGCUGUAUUUUAAUGUUGCGUAAUAAAUCAUUAGCAGAUCAAGGGAGAAAACAGUCGGGCUUCUUAAAUGUACGGAACUUACAUGUCUGGAUGUCCAUUUGUGAGAAGGAGAGCAGAGUUACAUGUUGAAGUUCCAGAAGGUGAAUGUUGGCAGGGCAGGAGGAAAGGGGAGCAGAAUAGAAAAAAAACCUGAAUGCGCCAUGGAAGAAGUUAACACCUCUUCCAUUAAUUUGAUUCUCAUUUCUCCACAAAUAAGUCUGUGCCUUUAGAAGUUACACAACCCCUUAGUGUCAUUUGCAAAAUGGUGCUCGGCUGUUAAAUGUGGUAUCCAGUUAGAAAAAUAUGUAAGACUUCCUAUUCUUGCCUGUCCUGGAGGCUGACUACAUUUGAGGCAACCCCAGUUUGGAGACUGUGUAGCUGUGUAAUUAGCACACACUGUAUUCCACCUCUGGUCCAGAAGCAGUGUUGGUACUGAGUCAAUCCCAAAAUAGGAAGUUUUAGUUAUCAUUCAGGUCCUUUGCAUCAGUAAUGCAGGUUUGUAGCUGAUGGAAUCAAUCUGGCUCAUCCGUAUGACUUUAAAGAACAGGCGGAAAAAAACUUGAAGUUCCAGAGAUGUGCUUUGAAUAGUUGAACUUCCACCUCCCUUUCUUUAGUAAGAGUAAGCAUCUGAACUCUGGAAAAGCAGAACAGUCUUUAGAAAAUUACGUUUUGUUUAUUUGAGUGUUUUAAUUGCUGCUGGUGGAAUUCCACUGGUUUAAGAAAAUACUAGAACAUGUCCGAACUUAUUUCUGGUCCUUAAGAUAACACCCUCUGAAUGAAAGGCGGAGUUCUGAGAAGUUCUCUACCCACUGAGUUUCACUUAAGGGUGAUGGGGAAGAAUGGGAGAAGUUUUGGUAAAGCUUCCUUGGUUUCAGGGAUCUGCCAGGCUUUAAAUGGGUGUUCCACUAGAGGGUAUUGUUUGUUCUUUCACACAUGCUAUUUUGUGUGAUGUCUCACUUUGACAUAAUUUAUGGAAUUAAUUUUUAAGUAGAAGAGAGUAUUUAAAAGUGUUUAAUACAAAGUAUUUAAAAGAAAAAUAUACUGAUAAAACUCUGUAUCUCUAAUAAAUCUCAAGAAAAAGCAUUUUCGUAACUAACUGUAGCACAUAAGUAAGUUUUAUUCCAGUUCGUCAUAUAGAAUUUGUAAAGUAAAUGGUAGUGAAAUAGGUGGAGCCAGCAUUGUAUCUUACUACUAUGAAUUCACUUGUUUAAACAUCUUAAAUGCAGCAUGUGGUAGCAAUCUGCAAGUCCAAGAUAAAACUUGUAUAAACUAGUUCAAGAGUCUGUACUCAGCAUCUGUCUCAGAGCAAGUGUAUCUGUAGGCUGCUACCCUAGAUUUUGGACGUUAAACUUCAAGUGAAGUGUUUUUACUUUAAUGUUUUGUUGUAGGGAUUUUCUUUACUCAAACAUUGCCUUGGUUUGCUUUAUCAAAAUUAAUUAUGUUGCUGUUGGAGCAAUCAACAGCCUGGUAAAAAUUGUAAGAUGUUUAAAAAAAAAAACCAAACAAAUUUCUGGCUUCUUUUAGCAAAUACAGUUGAUAAGUGGUGAUUUGGUGGGUUUGGGUGUUUUUAGUGAUUUUUAGAAAGGCUCAGAAUGUAGUAUAAGAAGUUUCUUAACAAUACAAAUUUAGAAGUCUUAAAUAUUUAUCAGAUGACUUACACAUAAUGGUUUUUAUCACAGCCCCCGAGCAAGCAUAUAUAACUUUGCUGUCCCUGAAUGCAGCAUGGUGGGAUAGUAAAGCCAACUGUACACCUUAUUUGGCUUGAAUUUCCCUGAAGAAGAAGAGUUUGGAAUUUAUUGCUUUGGAUCUUGUCAUGAAGGAAAAAAGAAUACCACGCGGAUAUAUAAUUACUGGAAAUUCACAUUCCAUGUUUAACGAUGAAUAAUUCUUCAAAACGCAUGUGUGUAUUAAGCAUUUCAAUAUGAAGAUUAGCGAAAUUGAACGUUAAAUUGUUUUGGUUAGUUUGAUUAAAUUUAGGUUUUAAAAGAUGAUUUGUUUAAAAGAUUUUUAUUACCUGUAAUAUACACUAGUAACUUAUAUUUAGAGUUGUAAUAAUUUGCCACAAUUCCUACUCUUUUAUAUUUUAAGUUUCACACAGAAUUUUUACAGCUUCUGUUGUAAGUAAUGAAUCUUAAGCAAACAUUAA